rnacentral:rRNA from 1 species
UACGGAGGGUGCAAGCGUUAUCCGGAUUCACUGGGUUUAAAGGGUGCGUAGGAGGGCAGGUAAGUCCGUGGUGAAAUCUCUGAGCUUAACUCAGAAACUGCCAUGGAUACUAUUUGUCUUGAAUGUUGUGGAGGUAAGCGGAAUAUGUCAUGUAGCGGUGAAAUGCUUAGAUAUGACAUAGAACACCAAUUGCGAAAGGCAGCUUACUACACAAAUAUUGACGCUGAGGCACGAAAGCGUGGGGGAUCAAACAGG